rnacentral:rRNA from 1 species
UACAGAGGUGGCAAGCGUUGUUCGGAAUUACUGGGCGUAAAGGGCGCGUAGGCGGCCUUCUAAGUCAGACGUGAAAUCCCCCGGCUUAACCUGGGAACUGCGUCUGAUACUGGGAGGCUUGAGUAUGGGAGAGGGAUGUAGAAUUCCAGGUGUAGCGGUGAAAUGCGUAGAUAUCUGGAGGAACACCGGUGGCGAAGGCGGCAUCCUGGACCAUAACUGACGCUGAGGCGCGAAAGCUAGGGGAGCAAACGGG